rnacentral:rRNA from 1 species
GACGAAUGCUGGCUGCGUGCUUAACACAUGCAAGUCGAACGGUGAAGGAGGGCUUGCCCUCCGGAUCAGUGGCGAACGGGUGAGUAACACGUGGGCAACCUGCCUGAGAGUGCGGAAUAACCCUGCGAAAGCAGAGCUAAUACUGCAUGUGGUUGUCGGAUGGCAUCAUCUGACAACUAAAGUCGCAAGACGCUCUCAGAUGGGCCCGCGGCCUAUUAGCUAGUUGGUGAGGUAACGGCCCACCAAGGCAAUGAUGGGUAGCUGGUCUGAGAGGACGGACAGCCACACUGGGACUGAGACACGGCCCAGACUCCUACGGGAGGCAGCAGUGAGGAAUUUUCCGCAAUGGGCGAAAGCCUGACGGAGCAACGCCGCGUGAGGGAUGAAGUCUCUAGGGAUGUAAACCUCUGUUGGGAGGGACGAAGAUCUGACGGUACCUCCUGGGGAAGCCCCGGCUAACUACGUGCCAGCCGCCGCCGUAAGAC